UGGCGCCGCAUACUUAACCGCCGCGGCUGCUAUAGCUACAGGGAGCCAAGGCAACCAGCUCUCGCGACACUUUCCUUGGCCAUGGCGAGAGCACACGAGAAGAGACUCUCGCAAGAAAGUAAAUGAGUCAGGCUGGAAACAGCGAAGUAUAUCUCGCGAUAGCACUGUUUAAAAUGGCGGCUUCAAGGCGUUUCACGGGUGUCCCGGACAGGCGUGGAGGUGGGGCGCAGGCGAGGAUGAAGCUUGAGUUGGCCAGGAGUCGGAAAACGAUUGCAGGCGGGACCGCGUCCGUCGGGGCUGAGGAAACUUAGCGUGGCAGACCCUAAACUGGGAUAACUUUAGGGAUAUGGCCUUCUUUUCCCAGUUGCCUCAAACUUAGAGCAGCGUCGUCUUUAGCCGAAGAUUCAUUUUCCCAGCAUUUUCCUUCUCCAGGCGGAGUAGUUGGAGACAGAGGGCAAGCCAGAAACUGACCUUCCCAUCUCCUCAUUCCCUUCCAUCAAGAACUUUUCAUCGUUCUUUCCCCACCCUGGUUUGUAAAUGGUAUUUGGCUUCAUAAAAACGUUUGUCCACAGGUGCCCUGCUCCAUCAGUUCGCUCCAGCAAUAUAGGAAGUUACCAAAAAAAAAAUUUUUUUUUAUUGACCUUGGAUGCAGAAAGGAACCGCGUUGGUGUGUGAUUUGAAUUUUGGACUUCUUGUUUCCUGCCUUGUGGCCACGUCCCCCUUACUUGGUGACUCUCAGCACUUAGUUGUGGGGCUUUUUCUCUCUGCUCUCAGACAACUAUAAAAGCAGACUAAUUGAACAGCAUCUAGAACAGAAGGUGGAUGUAAAGAACAUUGGUCGGCCGGGCGCUGUGGCUCACGCCUGUAAUCCCAGCACUUGAGAGGCCGAGGCGGGCAGAUCACGAGGUCAGGAGAUCGAGACCAUCCUGACCAACAUUGUGAAACCCCGUCUCUACUAAAAAUACAAAAAUUAGCUGGGCGUGGUGGCGUGUGCCUGUAAUCCCAGCUACUCGGGAGGCUGAGGCAGGAGAAUUGCUUGAACCAGGGAGUUGGAGGCUGCAGUGAGCCAAGAUCACACCACUGCACUCCAGCCUGGCGACAGAGCGAGACUUCGUCUCAAAAAAGAAAAAAAAAAAAUGAGCCGGGCAUAGUGGCACGCGUCUGUAGUCCCAGCAACUCGGGAGGAUAAAGUGGGAGAAUCCCUUGAGCUGGGAGGUGGAGGUUGCAGUGAGCUAUGAUCACACCACUGCACUCCAUCAAACAGAGCCAGACUCUGCCUCAAGAAAGAGUGUGAGAGAGAUCAAAAUAUCAUUUCAACAUAUAACCAAUGUUAUUAACAAGAUAACUUACAUUCUUUCUUUCGUACUAAGUUUUCAAAAUUUGGUGUUUAUACUUGGAGCACAUCUCAUUAAGGACUGGGAGCAUUUAAAGAGCUCAAGAGCCACAUGCAACUAGUGACGAGAGUAUCGGACAGCGCAGUCCUAGACUCUAGAGUAAUGAAUGAGCUCUCUAGAUGUCCGGGGGGUGGUAUCAUGGGUGUGUGGUGUAUGUAAAAGAAACUCUUGAAAUUGCUAACUCAAAUGGCUGCAGAGGCUAGGCAAGUAACAAUAAAAGAUGACCUGACAUAGGGACUAGGACCCACUGGAGACUACAAACUCCUAUCUAAAAGAGCCACUUUUCCUGAGUUUUAAAACACAGUGAUGCCAAACAAGAUGUCUGUGAGUAGGACACACAGCUAACUCUGCGGCCAAUAUACUGCCUCAGUGAACCGUGGUAUUCAAAUGUAUGAAACACAAGGAUUUUUUGUUGUUUUUUAUUUUUUUUGAGACAGGGUCUCUCUAGUCAUCCAUGAUCUCGGCUCACUACAACUUCCACCUCUCCCACUCAAGCGAUCCUCCCACCUCACCUCCCAAGUAGCAGGGACUGCAGACACCUACCACUACACCUGGCUAAUUCUUGUAGAAAGGGUAUUUUAACAGAAGAAUAGUAACUAGGCAAAGGGAUGGCAAACCUUGAAAACCUGACCACAUUUCUUUCUGGGUCCUGUACAAGUGUGUGCACUUUAAGCCAUCAUUGCAAUUUAGGAUUAUAAUUUGACUUCUAAGUAGAGUUUCCUACUGAGGAGAUAAUUUUACAGCCAACCUGGGCUCCCUAUAAAUUAAUAAGCUGAUAUCAUGAUUUUUAUUAUAGUUAAAAUUUUAGACAUUCUGAGCUUGAAAAAAUUAUUUCCAGGUUUUCAAAGCUGUUCACUAGCAGACUCCAGACAUUUUUUUCUCCAAAUUUAAGAGAAGGCAUAUACAUAUAUAUAUAUAUAUAUAUACACACACACACACACAUAUAUAUAUACACACAUAUAUAUAUUUUUUUGUUUUGUUUUGUUUUUUUUCUGUUUUUUGUUUUUUGUUUUUUUGAGACAAGGUCUCACUCACACCCAGGCUGGAGUUCGGUGGCAUGAUCUCGGCUCAAUACAACCUCCACCUCUCAGUUUCAAGUGAUUCUUUUGCCUCAGCCUCCAAAGUAGCUGGGAUUACAGUCACGUGCCACUGUGCCCGACUAAUUUUUUUGCAUUUUUAGUAGAGACACGGUUUCGACAUGUUGGCCAGGCUGGUCUCGAAUUUCUGGCUUCAAGUGACCCGCCCACGUUGGCCUUCCAAAGUGCUGGGAUUAGGAGUGUGAGCCAGCACACCUGGCCUACAAGAAGGCAUUUAAUUAUUUUAUGGUUGACUGUGAAAGCUCUUUGUCACAGGAAAGUUAUUUGUCUUUGUACUGCUUUUGCCUGAUACAGUACCUGGUAUACAGAAGGCACAUAAUAAACAUUUGUUAAAGGAAUAUAGUCCUUAAAACUUUUGAGGGGCUCACAGACUUAAAACCCGAGAAUCUGAUGAAGGCUAAGGCUUAUUCAGAUCUUAACUGUGCCCUAUCCAUAUUCCCUCAAACUACCCCAGAGUUCACCUCAACUUUGGUAGACAGAUCUUGUACAGGCCCAGAACUUCUUACCUCAAACACCUGAGUAACUCUAUCUGGAAGUGCUAGCAGAGUUAACAUUAUGAGAGACAAUCUACAAUCAAUGAGAGAUGGGAUUUGGUAGCUAAAUAUUCCAGUUCCUCAUCCCCUUAGUGGAGCCAUUCUGAAGCAUAUUCUACUGUAAUGUUUCUCAAAAUUUUCUAGCAUAUGAUAAUCACCUGGAGAGAUGAAUAUGACACAGAUUCCAGCCAGGCUCAGUGGCUUACACCUGUAAUCGCAGCACUUUGGAAGGUUGAGGCGGAAGGAUCACUUGAGCCCAGGAGUUCGAGACCAGCCUGGGCAAUAUGGUGAGACUUUGUGAGCAUGGUGGCACACAUCUGUGGUCCCAGCUACCUCAGAGGCUGAGGUGGGAGGAUCACUUGAGCUUGGGAGGUUGAGGCUACAGUGAGCCAAGAUUGCGUCACUGUGCAUCAGCCUGAGUGACAGAGGAAGAGUCUGUCUCCAAAAAAAAAAAGAAAAACGAUAGAGAUUCUUGGGCCCAAGAGUUUGCAUUCUAACCAAGCUCCUAGGAAUACUGAUGCUGCUGCCAAUCCAUGGACCACAUUUUGUUUUUUUGUUUUUUUUUUUUUGUUUUUUUGUUUUUUUGAGAUGGAGUUUCACUCUUCUUGCUCAGGCUGGAUUGCAAUGGCGCGAUCUCGGGUCACUGCAACCUCCACCUCCCGGGUUCAAGUGAUUCUCCUGCCUCAGCCUCCCAAGUACAAGUAGGUGGGAUUAUAGGCAUGUGCCACCACACCCGGCUAAUUUUGUACUUUUCGUAGAGAUGGGGUUUCGCCAUGCUGGUCAGGCUGGUCUCGAACUCCUGACCUCAGGCGAUCCGCCCACCUCAGCCUCCCAAAGUUCUGGGAUUACAGGCGUGAGCCACCGCACCCAGCCUAGACCACGUUUUGAGUAGCAUUGUUUCUAAGACUCCCCAGUGGGAUUCAGCCCCAAUAGCUCAAAGGGACUUUUGGCUUUCCUCUCACUCCCUUAUACUGUUUGGAUUUCUUGGGAUCAUAUCCCAAAUGAACUGGUCUUGCAUCCAAAUCUUUCUUUCAGGGUCUGUUUAGGGUGGGUGGGAGAAUACAAACUAUGACAACCCUCUCCUUAGGAAAAAGUACAGAGGGGCAGGUGUGGUGGCUCACGCUUGUAAGCCCAGCGCUUUUAGGAGGCUGAGGUGGGUGGAUCACAAGGUCAAGAGGUCAAGACCAGCCUGGCCAACAUGGUGAAACCCCGUCUCUACUAAAAAUACAAAAAAUUAGAUGGGCAUGGUGAUGGGUGCCUGCAAUCCCAGCUACUCGGGAGGCUGGAGCAGGAGAAUCGCUUGAACCCAGGAGGCAGAGACUGCAGUAAGCCGAGACGCGCCACUGCACUCCAGCCUGGGUGACAGAGCGAGACUCCAUUUAAAAAAAAAAAAAAAAGGAAAAGGUACAAAGUUUUGUAUACACGUUUAAAGGAGGUAGGCCAGGCACGGUGGCUCCGCCUGUAAUCCUAGCACUUUGAGAGGCCGAGGCAGGCAGAUUGCUUGAGCUCAGGAGUUCAGGACCAGCCUGGGCAACAUGGCAAAACCCCAUCUCUACAAAAAAAUACAGAAAAUUAGCCAGGCGUGGUGGCGAGCUCCUGUAGUGCCACCUACUUGGGGGUCUGAAGUGGGAGGAUCACUUGCACCUGAGAGGUGGAGACCGCAGUGAGCUAAGAUUGCACCACUUCACUGCACUCCAGUCUGGGCGACAGAGUGAGACCCUAUCUCAAAAAAAAAAAAAAAUGCUUAGAGGGGGUAUGAAUUCUCUGGAAUUUGCUCAUUAGAUUAUAAGUGAAGAUGACCAGGGUAAAUGCCAUUUGACCCAAGGUGCACUAAAAUAUGAUCCAUCUAAUGCAGAUUCUGGCAAACUUAAUCUAACCAUUAGCAGCUCAUGGAGUUGACUGAAUUCAGCCAGCUCUCCUUAGAAGUUAUUUUCUCAGAUCUUAUUGCCAUCUUUUCAUUCUUUCUGAUCUGCAUUAGUCUUACUUUGUGGAACAUGGCAGUAGGCCUGGGACUCUUAGAGAGUCCCCAUCCUUGUAAUGAGCAAAAAGAAUAUUGUUGCGCAUUCCUAUCGGGCUCUUAAGAUUUCUUCCCAACCAUACUGCUUUCUAGGUACCACUGUAGUGCCCUUGUAACCCUUAGAUCUUUUCUUGCUGUGUUCAACACAGAGCCUGGCAUACUAUAACUGUAGCUGGUUUCUCCCAUUUCCUUCUGGAUUCCACAUGGCCCCCUAUUCUAUUUCAUCCUUUUGGGAAUGUGUAAUCUUUGACACUUAUAUUCCUAAACCCACUUUGGUAUAAUCUGGAAACUUUAUGGCAUGCUCUAGUCUGUGACAAUCAGGAUAACCCUGAUUAUACCAGCUUCUAAUCAACUACAUAAAGCGGGUGAACACCAGGGUCACCAACACCCAUUUCCCAACUGCGGUGCACAGCAGCUUUUUAGCUUUGCCAACAUUUGGGCCGGCACAUGUGUUUGUGCGUGAUUAUUUGUCUCAUGUACUAUUGAAUAAACG
rnacentral:lncRNA from 1 species